rnacentral:rRNA from 1 species
AUACGGAGGGUGCAAGCGUUACUCGGAAUCACUGGGCGUAAAGCGCGCGCAGGCGGCUUGAUAAGUUGGAUGUGAAAGCCUACGGCUCAACCGUAGAACUGCAUCCAAAACUGUCAAGCUAGAGUCUGGGAGGGGAAGAUGGAAUUAGUUGUGUAGGGGUAAAAUCCGUAGAGAUAACUAGGAAUACCAAAAGCGAAGGCGAUCUUCUGGAACAGUACUGACGCUGAGGCGCGAAAGCGUGGGGAGCAAACAGGAUUAGAAACCCGGGUAGUAC